GUCCAAGGCACCUCAUGUCUGUGGGCCCGGGUGGGGCAGAGGGGACCCGUGGCCACAGCCUUCAGGCAGCUCCAGCUGCGGAAUGGGGUCUCCCCAGGCCCCUCCCUCUCCAGCCCUGCCCCCACCCCCCUGUAAAUCUAUAUAAUUAGUGCGAGCUAGUCUUACUCUGAGGUUAUCACUCCUGGGGUGCCCCAGGCCCUGACCCGUCCUGCACCAGCCAACAUCCCCCUACUCCCGCUCCAGGAAGGCUGCUUCCUCAGCUUAAAUAACUUUUUAAAAUAAAACUGCAAAUAUAAAUAUCUUUCUUUCUCAAAAAAUAGGAUUUUUGCUCUUUUUGUGUGGAUUUUUAUUUUUUUUCUCCUGCUCUUCCUUUCAGUCCCUCUGUUUCUCACCUCCUACAAUCCUGGCUUCCUGAACUGCCUUGGUCCUGGAGGGGCCCCUGCCUCUGUCCCACCACAUGGGAUAAGAUGGAUCUCAGUAGUGCAAAGACUCCCCCAGAAGACCCUCUAAGGGGCUGGGGGCUCCUCCCCCUGCCCAAGACCCCACUCCCUUAGAAGAAAGGAAAGGGACAGCCAGGUACAAACAGGGUGACAAGACAGGAGGGCCAUGAGGGGUCUCCUGGGCGAGCCGGUCAUGGUGGCGGCGGGGGCAGACUUUGGUAUGGCCCCGGGGGAGCCUGCCUGGGUACAGGCCCAGACCCACACCCUUGCCAGGCUGGGCCUGGUCCGGCACUUUACAUUCACUGGUUUUUAAUUUUUUUUUUUAAUUUUUUAUUUUUUUCUCUUAAUCUCAAAAGGCGGGGUGGGGAUCAAGGUGAGGGGCUAGCCAGGGAGCAGCAGCAAGUAUGCUAAUUUUCUUUCUCUCUCUCUCUGGUCCUGCAGGCUCGAGACCGCUCCAGGUGAGGGUUCUGGCUCCCACCAUCCUGCCAGGCCCACUGCUGCCCCCAGCCCCGGGGUGCCCCCAGAGCCCCCGCCUGGAGCUCCCCCUGUGCCCGGACCUCACUCUCACACACACACGCACACACACACAUCCACUCAGCUUCACCAAGAUGAUGGAAAUAACAAUUUCGCUGUUUUUCUUUUUUUCUUUUUUUUUUUUGUACCAGGCAGUUUUAAAAAAAAAACACCCCAAAAAAAGAAACCACAAAAAAAAAAACAACCAAACAAAAAAACUUUUUGCUCUGUCCUUUCUGAACAGUCAGCACGUUCCCCCUCAAAUAGUUUUUUGUUUGUUUGUUUCCUGAAACGCGAGAAUUCAGCAGUUAUCUUUGGCAACACUUUAUCACGACCUUAAUUUAAAGAAUAAAAAUAA
rnacentral:lncRNA from 1 species